CUUUCAGCAGUGGAUGUCUAGGCUCGCACAUCGAUGAAGAACGCUGCGAACUGCGAUACGUAAUACGAAUUGCGGAAUUCAGUGAGUCAUCGAAAUUUUGAACGCAUAUUGCACUUUCGGGUUAUCCCUGGAAGUAUGCCUGUAUCAGUGUCCAUACAU
rnacentral:rRNA from 1 species